rnacentral:tRNA from 1 species
GGGCUUGUGGCGCAACGGUAGCGCGUUCGACUCCAGAUCGAAAGGUUAUCCGUUCAAAUCGGGUCAGGCUCA